UACGGAAGGGGCAAGCGUUGUUCGGAAUCAUUGGGCGUAAAGGGCGCGUAGGCGGCCUGAUAAGUCGGGGGUGAAAUCCUGUGGCUCAACCACAGGGCUGCCUCCGAGACUGUCGGGCUCGAGCACAGUAGAGGCAGGUGGAAUUCCCGGUGUAGCGGUGGAAUGCGUAGAGAUCGGGAAGAACAUCGGUGGCGAAGGCGGCCUGCUGGGCUGUUGCUGACGCUGAGGCGCGACAGCGUGGGGAGCAAACAGG
rnacentral:rRNA from 1 species